UACGUAGGGCGCAAGCGUUGUCCGGAAUUAUUGGGCGUAAAGAGCUCGUAGGUGGUUUGUUACGUCUGCGGUGAAAACCUAGGGCUUAACCCUGGGCUUGCAGUGGAUACGGGCAGACUAGAGGUAGGUAGGGGAGAAUGGAAUUCCCGGUGUAGCGGUGAAAUGCGCAGAUAUCGGGAGGAACACCGGUGGCGAAGGCGGUUCUCUGGGCCUUACCUGACGCUGAGGAGCGAAAGCGUGGGGAGCGAACAGG
rnacentral:rRNA from 1 species